CCAAGGAAUCUUAAUUAUCUCUUUCCUUGCCCAUCUGCUGCAGUAACUAGACUCCGGGCAGGGACUGUGUCUUGUUCAUGCCUGCAUUUCUGGGGUCCCUUCCUAGAGUAGAAGUUGAGUAGAUGUUUUAUGGACGAAUGACUGAAGUAGGUUAAUACAUAGAUUUGUGAACAGGCUAUUCUCUGAUGAUAACCUAUGCCUUUACAUAAUGCCACCUCCCUCACUUGUGUGUGUUGAGGACAAUGUGGGGAUAGUUAGGUUAGCAGCCCAGGCUGUAGGGAAGCCCUUAUAGCAAACUUGCUGGACCGCAGUCGGUGUAGAAGCCAGAGCUCUGGGUUCUCUGCAUGUUGUAGACACAGGUGAGAGGCAAGACAUAUGUCAGGAAACAUUGGCAUGGUGUGAAAGGAGAAAGGAAUGUACCUUCAUUAAGCACCUGCCAUAUGCUAGACAAUUUAAACAUAUUAUUUCAGCGAGUCUGUCCUCACAACAACCCUGUAAGUUUGCUGUUAUUAUCCCCAUCUGGCAAAUAAAGAAGCAGGCUCAGAGAAGUUAAGUGACUUGCCCAAGGCCACACAGCUGGUAAGUGGCAGAGCUGGAAUCCAAAACAGGGCCUUCCCGUCUUCUGAGCAGGGGCUCCACCCAAUGCAUCUCAGCAGACAAAAGGAGAAGCCAGACAUGCCUAGUUUCUCCACGACACCCAGGGCCUGGGCCUCGUGUAGAUAUGAGGCCCGCACAUCAGUCCUGGCCUGACAAAAAAGCUCAGAAGGCUUCUCCUAGCAGCGGCCUGUUGAACACGGCCUGGAGGAGAGAGUAAAGAAACAGGCUGCUUUUCCCCGGACCCAGGCUCUGUCAGGCAGGCCUGAUUUGUAUGACUGCUCCAGACGCUGCAGAAACAAACACUGGGCUGUUGGGUCAGGUUCCCCUGUUUCUUAGAUGAAGGAGCCAGACCGGAGCCAGCGCAUUUCUCAACCCCCAGGCAACCGCUGACCAGGCCUCCUGGGCUCUGUCUCCACUGGCAGCUGUGAGCGGCGCAGCCUCCUGGCUGGCUGAGCAGCCCCCGGCCCUGCUGGCAGCCACGGGACACGUUGUCUAGCUGCAAUCUCGAGUGGAACCGUAGUCGACGAAACAGAGCGAGGAGCUGCCUCGCCUUGCCUUCUUGCCUUGCUCUCACCAUCACAUUUUCCUGGAACCCUGGGAUUCCUUAGAAUCCAGUCUGAAAAGCACUGUCCACAUUCAAUUCCUGUACCUCAUGCGUGGGAAACAGAGAUCUGGAGAAGCUAAGGGAUCUGUCCAGUGUCAAAAGGCCAGGAAGCGGUGGAGGCACAACCAGCCAUCAAGCUUCCUGGCGUCCAGGUCAAGGGCUUUUGGCUGGGCCCGGCAGCCUUCCCUGCUCUCACCUACUAUGCAGGAAAAUGCCUUGAUGGCCUCUCUGGUCCCUGGCCUGGAAGGGGAAGGAGAAACAAAGAGGAGGCUAAACUGUUCUACCUGAAAUGACAUUUGGGCUUUGCUCCCUGGAAGCCCCAGAGGCUGGAUGGGUGAAGGCUGGGUCGGGGAGCUGGGCAGGGCUCAGAAAUGGAGUGUGACAAGGGAAAUGAAGACAGAAUCCCAAAACGGAGUAGGAGAUGCACUCUAUGGGGGACAGGACACAGCCACCCUCUUUCUGGGAACAUCGAGCUGUUUUUGCCUACUCCUGUAUUUCCAGCAAAGGUCUGGUGGCCCCGGGAACCUCAUGUCGAUGGCUUGUGGAAUGGCGAUGGGCAACAGGAGAGGGAGCUCGAGUCUCCAGUGCUGAGAGUGAGCUCAGGAAGACAGAAGCAUCACGGAUGGAAGGGGUGAACACCUGGGCAUGCUGGGGAGACGGGGUUUCUCAGAGUAGCGGGGACUGGGCACGCGCUGUUUGAUUUGGAGGGUCAAGCGAUGGAUGCUGCCAGAAGGCUAAAAGGUGAGGGUGUUUGAUGUACCUGGCAAUGUGUGUGCAUAUUCCACGAUGCAUAUUUACAUCAGUGUGUUCAUGAGGGCCGCUACCUGUGUGGUCGUGCAGGUAGAUGUGUGUGUGAGUACGUGUAAGUAUGGAAAUGCAGAAAUACCCCAUAUAUGUAGGAGUACAUGCAUAGGGGGCCUGGGCUUCAGGAUGUGUGUUUACGUGUGUAUAAAUAAAUAAAGACGAGCAGUGGCCAUGUGGGUGUGGAUGUGAGAAGGCCUGUGAGCGCAGCUGUGUGUCACUCCAUGUGCGUGUAGGGCCGUGGGGAGAUUUGUAAAUGUGCAGACCCUGUGUGUGUGCACAGAUGUGCCAGGGACCCAACAACCUCUGCAGUGUGCCUCCCUCCCCUUGGGGUCCGGCACAGCCGGCGAGGCUCCGGGCAGCAGGGAAGGGGGAGUAGAUGUUCCCGGGCGUGCUUGCCCCAGAGCGCUGCUCCUUGCCCAAGAACAUUCCCACUUUCCCAUUCCUGGGAAGGAACAUAAUGUCCACUGGCUCCUCUCCUGCCCGAUGAGUCCAACUCCCUUGUCUUGGGCUGCAAGGCGCUUCCUGACCAGGACAGGGAGCAUCCAGGGAGCCAAACCCCGGGGGCAGAGUGGGAGGGAAACAUACCGGCUCCAAGAGUGUCAGCAACAGGAGAUCUUCCCGGGGUGAUUAAAGUAGCCAUCAUUUGUUGGGUGUUUGCCAUGCGCCAGCCCCGUGCAGAACAUUUCACAUGAAUAAACUCAUUUAAGCCUCCCUACAGCCAUAGUUGCUAGGGCUUACCACGAUCUCGUUUGGGCAGAUGAGGACACUGAGGCUCAGGUGAAGGAACGUGCACAAGAUGGCACAGGCAGAGCUGAGACUGUGAACCGCCGAGGUUCCUAUACCCCUCAGCCAGCCUCGCCUUUUCCAAAUACCUUUUUAGAACUUGAGGUCCUACUAUGUGCCAGGCCAUGCGCUGAGCCCUUUCAUAUCAUAAAUGACACAUAUCACGCUUUCCAUUUAUUAUCUUAUUUCACCUCCAUAACUACAUUAUCAGGUUGGUGUGAUGUCCAUUUACAAUUAAAGAAACCGAGGAACAGA